CCAGUCGGCCGGACAGCCGCUGCCGCAAGUGCCGAAAGGCCGCGGGGGAGGAAAGUCCGGGCUCCACGGAAAUACGGUGCCGGGUAACACCCGGCGGGGGCGACCCUAGGGAAAGUGCCACAGAAAGCAAACCGCCUCGAAUGCGUUCGAGGUAAGGGUGAAAGGGUGGGGUAAGAGCCCACCGCGCGGACGGUAACGGACGCGGCACGGUAAACCCCACCGGGAGCAAAACCGAAUAGGGGCGACGCGGACUUCGGUCCAGGCCGGUUUCCAGGUCAGUUGCCCGGGUUGGUUGCGAGAGGCGUUCGGUAACGGACGUCCCAGAUGAAUGGCUGUCGCGUCCGCACUCAAAUGCGGGCCGUACAGAACCCGGCUUACAGGCCGACUGGCAUU
rnacentral:RNase_P_RNA from 1 species